UUAUGUCAUAGGCACGUGUGAAUGUGUUUUUACAGGCAGCAAUGUCAAUGGUGCUUGACGUGGAUAAAAUCAUGAUUGUAGAUCCCUCCUAAGUCAACUCUGAGCCACGCCUCUGUUUUUCCGCCUGCUGUGUGCAUGCAGUACGUGUAAGGAUUCUGUGUCUUGUCUCCGUCCACUGUCUUGUUUGGAUAUCCUCCCCAUCCUACAGAACUACUCACAGCCUCUGUAACUCCGGGUGUCACCAGCUGAUCUACUCAAGAGAUAAUCACGGUUUCUGGGAAGAACAAUAUCGUUGUAGUACAUGUUUAAAAGACAAUGAUCUACAUCGACUCUUUCAACAGUACAUGCUAUAGAAAGCUCAGAACAAUGAUACAAUAACAGAAGCCCAAUUAUUGACCACAGAACCUGGAGAAGAAAACAAUCACCAACAGCCUUUGAGCACAAUUCCGCCAGCACGAAGCCCGUGUAAAUCACAGUUGCUUGAUACCCGAUAAAGUCAUAACGCAAACGAUUUCCUCCGCUGAAUUUUCCUCAGAAGGACCAUGUGAUAAGAAUCCUGAGUCGUUUGCAGAAGAAUAAUUCGUACCCUCAAAUUUGAGGCGGUCAUGUCACGAGCAGAGCUCAAACUCACGACUUCCCGCAUACAAAGUCAACGCUCUACCACUGAGCUACCGCGACCAGUACGUAGAAAAGGAAUUACAUAUAAGAUGAGUUAUCUUUCUUGGCCUGUGCACCAUCUACAGGUAUCACACCGGUAAUUAUUUUCACUAUAUAUUACUAUAGAGGGGAAAAAAUCAUUAAAAAUCAGUUUACAAAAUUGAUGCCGAAUAACGCAGUCAGACACGUCCUAUGUUACCUAUCUCGUCUGUCGACACCAGAAAAACAACACCCUACGCGGCAUUUUCGAAAAAAAAUUACCCGCAAACAAGACUACCCUCAAAUCCACGUGUUUUUCACAUGUGUGUAAAUAGCCGGAGUGCACCUCAGGAAGUAGCCUCAGCUACCAACAGCAAAUAGUUCCUUUGUAUACACUUGAUUAUUUCUACAAAUUACACAAAAUUUCCUAAUCAGGGGUACAAAAAUUAAGAGAAAAGAAGAAGAGGAAAUGAGAAAAAUCGCGCAAGGAAAAAAAUAUUUCUUUAAAUAUAUGGAACUACAAUUGACUAAGUUCAUUUUGAUUGGAGAAUUACCGGUGUGAUACCUUGAAAUGUCAUUCUCUACCCAGAGUUCCUUGCGCUCCUCGCACUGCGUAACGCGCCCUCUGGUGAGAGAAUGCUAUAAUGUAUUGAUCUUUAUAAUGAGCUUAACCCAUAUUCGAGUUAAUCCUGAUUAUCUCAAGCAAUGUUUAAUAAUGAAAUGAUGUGAACCGUCAUUAAUUAGAUCAUGCAUGUAUGAAUUAAAGAAUUCUUUUAGCUUUUCUGCAUUAACUACUAGUAUAAGUCUCUAGACUGUUGAACCAGGGGGACAAAGGGGUCAGCUUUUCUCUUGUUUACCAACGUUCAUUUUCCAUUAGUUUCGCAUCCCUAUAAUUGAAAACGUAAUCCGAGAUUCCUCUGACUCUUAUUCCAAUUUUUUUUUUUAUCAUGACAUGUACGUCUUUCUCGCACAUGUCACGAUACAACAGUCAGAGGAAUCGGCACCAUUUGAAUUUGUGAAUUAUGUCUAUAGCCAACAGAGCCGUUGAUUUAACGAAUAGGGCUUCUUCAUAUCGGGAUAUUCUAUAGAACUUAGGACGGUCACGGCAAACUUUUGGCAAAUAGUAUGACCAGCUUCUUCAUUGUCAACUUCCCAUAUCAAUGUAGCAAUAUUCACCUGCAUAUAGUGUUAAUGUCUCUAAACUGAUAAGAUAUGCUAAAGCAUGUUCUGAGUACGAUGAAUUUUUCGAGGCAGCCUACUGCUUUCAGCAGUCUCUUUUACUAUUGAUCAGCAUUCCGCAAAUUCUUUGGUGGGUAUACUAAUAACGAGUUGUUAACCUGAUCACGGAGGGUGUACCCGGUC